rnacentral:rRNA from 1 species
GACGAACGCUGGCGGCGUGCUUAACACAUGCAAGUCGAACGGAAAGGCCCUGCUUUUGUGGGGUGCUCGAGUGGCGAACGGGUGAGUAACACGUGAGUAACCUGCCCUUGACUUUGGGAUAACUUCAGGAAACUGGGGCUAAUACCGGAUAGGAGCUCCUGCUGCAUGGUGGGGGUUGGAAAGUUUCGGCGGUUGGGGAUGGACGCGCGGCUUAUCAGCUUGUUGGUGGGGUAGUGGCUUACCAAGGCUUUGACGGGUAGCCGGCCUGAGAGGGUGACCGGCCACAUUGGGACUGAGAUACGGCCCAGACUCCUACGGGAGGCAGCAGUGGGGAAUAUUGCACAAUGGGCGGAGGCCUGAUGCAGCAACGCCGCGUGCGGGAUGACGGCCUUCGGGUUGUAAACCGCUUUCGCCUGUGACGAAGCGUGAGUGACGGUAAUGGGUAAAGAAGCACCGGCUAACUACGUG